UGAGGAAUAUUGGUCAAUGGUCGGGAGACUGAACCAGCCAAGCCGCGUGAGGGAUGAAGGUACAGAGUAUCGUAAACCUCUUUUGUCAGGGAACAAAAGGCGCCACGCGUGGCGCUCCGAGUGUACCUGAAGAAAAGCAUCGGCUAACUCCGUGCCAGCAGCCGCGGUAAUACGGAGGAUGCGAGCGUUAUCCGGAUUUAUUGGGUUUAAAGGGUGCGUAGGCGGCGAGUUAAGUCAGUGGUAAAAGCCCGGGGCUCAACCCCGGCCCGCCGUUGAAACUGGCUUGCUUGAGUUGGAGAGAAGUAGGCGGAAUGCGCGGUGUAGCGGUGAAAUGCUUAGAUAUCGCGCAGAACUCCGAUUGCGAAGGCAGCCUACCGGCUCCAGACUGACGCUGAGGCACGAAAGCGUGGGUAUCGAACAGGAUUAGAUACC
rnacentral:rRNA from 1 species